rnacentral:lncRNA from 1 species
UUGGGAUCUUGUUCUUGAUUCUGGAUUUCGCUGAUGAGAUUUAUGGAACCGUGACAAUCUGUGAGCUCCUUAUUUGGUGAUCUCUCGUAUCUUUUUUGUAAUUUUUUUCUUUUCAUGUUAAUAAAGUUUGGUUCGGUGUUCUUGUUCGUAUUUUUGUUUUUUUUGAUUUUGUUCUUUGUUUUUUUUAUUUUUGUAGUUGUUAUGUUUUGAGAAAAGAAUUAGACUCUGAUUCUCUGCAUUCUAUGAUUCUUUUUUGAAUCAAAUGACUCUGUAUUAGGCAGUUUUUUUAUCGAGAUGUCUUCUCGAGUCAGAGAUGAUUCCAAU